GGGCCGGUAGAUCAGUUGGUAGAUCGUCGUCUUGGCAUGGCGAAGGCCGCGGGUUCAAAUCCCGCCCGGUCCA
rnacentral:tRNA from 1 species